AUUGAACGCUGGCGGCAUGCCUUACACAUGCAAGUCGAACGGUAACGCGGGGCAACCUGGCGACGAGUGGCGAACGGGUGAGUAAUGCACCGGAACGUGCCCAGCUGUGGGGGCUACAUGCUCGAAAGAGCAGCUAAUACCGCAUACGACCUGCGGGUGAAAGCGGGGGAUCGCAAGACCUGCCGCAAUUGGAGCGGCCGAUGUCGGAUUAGCCAGUUGGUGGGGUAAAGGCACACCAAGGCGACGGUCCGUAGCUGGUCUGAGAGGACGACCAGCCACACUGGGACUGGGACACGGCCCAGACUCCUACGGGAGGCAGCAGUGGGGAAUUUUGGACAAUGGACGCAAGUCUGAUCCAGCCAUGCCGCGUGCGGGAAGAAGGCCUUCGGGUUGUAAACCGCUUUUGUCAGGGAGGAAAUCUUCUGGGUUAAUACCUCGGGAGGAUGACGGUACCUGAAGAAUAAGCACCGGUUAACUACGUGCCAGCAGCCGCAGUAAGAC
rnacentral:rRNA from 1 species